rnacentral:tRNA from 1 species
GUGGGCAUGUCGGAGUGUUUAUCGGGCAUGACUAGAAAUCGUGUGGGUGCGCAGAUUCGAAUCAUGCUGCUCACG